AACGAACGCUGGCGGCAUGCCUAACACAUGCACGUCGAACGAGACCUUCGGGUCUAGUGGCGCACGGGUGCGUAACGCGUGGGAAUCGACCCUUGGGUUCGGAAUAACAGUUAGAAAUGACUGCUAAUACCGGAUGAUGACGUAAGUCCAAAGAUUUAUCGCCCAAGGAUGAGCCCGCGUAAGAUUAGCUUGUUGGGGGGGUAAUGGCCUACCAAGGCGACGAUCUUUAGCUGGUCUGAGAGGAUGAUCAGCCACACUGGGACUGAGACACGGCCCAGACUCCUACGGGAGGCAGCAGUGGGGAAUAUUGGACAAUGGGCGAAAGCCUGAUCCAGCAAUGCCGCGUGAGUGAUGAAGGCCUUAGGGUUGUAAAGCUCUUUUACCAGGGAUGAUAAUGACAGUACCUGGAGAAUAAGCUCCGGCUAACUCCGUGCCAGCCGCCGCGGUAA
rnacentral:rRNA from 1 species